rnacentral:lncRNA from 1 species
AAAUAUGUUCAGUGUUCUUUCCUUCUAUUUUAUUUCGAUUACUGUUUAAAAAUUUGAAUAUUUAUAUAUUCCGUCUCUUCUUUUCAAUCUAGAUUUUGGUUGAAAAAUGGAGUUUGAUUGAGAAGUCGUUGAGUUCGUCGCUGCUCAAGGUGUCGAUUUUCGUCCGCUGUUGCCUUUUCAGUUCGAUUUCAAUUUUGUUGUUGGGUUUCUCAUUGUAUAUUCACGGCCGAAGUUUAAUCGAAAGCUCAAUUUCAGGUUCAUUUUCUGACUCUUUCCCUUAUCUUGAUUGUGGUGUUAAUCUCAGUAUGGUCAAGGCCAUAGGUCUAACAGAUUUUGGGGAGUGUUUGAAUCUUGAGUGUAGGGAUUAACUAAGGUUGGAUCCGUGUGCUUUUUUGUUCCAUUCAUGACUUUGUUUAUGUGUUUUAAUAUAUCACUUCAGAUCUAAACGCUUUUGUUUGAUAUGAUCGAUUCGAGUUCGGCAUGGUCAUAUAGUUAUUGGAAGGAUCAUGAAAUCAGUGAUGACUUGCUUGCAAUUUUCAUAAGUGUUUCGGCAUGUUCCUGUCAGCUUUAAGUUGUUAGACUCUCACUCACUGGAUGUUCUUUGGGUGCUUGUUGAAUCACUUUAGUCGUUCCGACAUUUUGAAGCAUGUCUCGUUGUGCUUAAAUCAGUUCGGUUGAUCUUUGUAGUCAUUUCAGGUACGAAAUCAGUUCAGAGAUUUUUUCUGUUAGCUUGAUAUGAGAAAUGCUGUUGAGUCCCUGUUGGUUUAUAUGUUUGUUGAUGUACAGAUCGAUCCAUACUUUUGUGAAAAAUACUUAAUAUGUUGUGUUUUGUGUAUGUCGAGGUUCGAGAUGGC